rnacentral:rRNA from 1 species
AGUGAACGCUGGCGGCAGGCCUAACACAUGCAAGUCGAACGGAAGCACAGUGCUUGCUUGCGGUUACCGGGGGGGAAAGGCGGGCGGAGCAGGAGAAUAUCCUAGCCUGCGCUUUCGUAGGGCAUAACGUAGGGGAACCUACGCCAUUACAGCAGAGGGCGCACGGGGGUGAGCUUGGGAACUUCGGAUCUGGUGCGAGUGAAUGAGCGGCUGACGAGUUGGUUGGUUGGCGGGGUACAGGCCCACCAAUGCGACGAUCGGUAGCUGGGCUGAGAGGAUGAUCAGGCACACUGGAACUGAGACACGGUCCAGACUCCUACGGGAGGCAGCAGUGGGGAAUAUUGGACAAUGGGCGCAAGCCUGAUCCAGCCAUGCCGCGUGGGUGAAGAAGGGCUUCGGGUUGUAAAGCGCUUUUGGUGGGGAAGAAGGGCAGCAGGUUAAUACCCGGCUGUUUUGACGUUACCGAUAGAAUAAGCACCGGCUAACUUCGU